CAUUAGGUGGCUGAAUGUAAGCAAUGGUCUCUUAAACCAUCCUAUAGUAUUUAACACCUACUUCUAAUGG
rnacentral:tRNA from 1 species